rnacentral:rRNA from 1 species
UGCAGUAGAACGCUGAAGCUUGGUGCUUGCACCGAGCGGAUGAGUUGCGAACGGGUGAGUAACGCGUAGGUAACCUGCCUCUUAGCGGGGGAUAACUAUUGGAAACGAUAGCUAAUACCGCAUAAAAGUCAACAUUGCAUGAUGUUGACUUGAAAGGUGCAAAUGCAUCACUAAGAGAUGGACCUGCGUUGUAUUAGCUAGUUGGUGAGGUAACGGCUCACCAAGGCGACGAUACAUAGCCGACCUGAGAGGGUGAUCGGCCACACUGGGACUGAGACACGGCCCAGACUCCUACGGGAGGCAGCAGUAGGGAAUCUUCGGCAAUGGACGGAAGUCUGACCGAGCAACGCCGCGUGAGUGAAGAAGGUUUUCGGAUCGUAAAGCUCUGUUGUAAGAGAAGAACGAGUGUGAGAGUGGAAAGUUCACACUGUGACGGUAACUUACCAGAAAGGGACGGCUAACUACGUGCCAGCAGCCGCGGUAAUACGUAGGUCCCGAGCGUUAUCCGGAUUUAUUGGGCGUAAAGCGAGCGCAGGCGGUUAGAUAAGUCUGAAGUUAAAGGCUGUGGCUUAACCAUAGUACGCUUUGGAAACUGUUUAACUUGAGUGCAGAAGGGGAGAGUGGAAUUCCAUGUGUAGCGGUGAAAUGCGUAGAUAUAUGGAGGAACACCGGUGGCGAAAGCGGCUCUCUGGUCUGUAACUGACGCUGAGGCUCGAAAGCGUGGGGAGCAAACAGGAUUAGAUACCUGGUAGUCA